rnacentral:lncRNA from 1 species
GGCUCUACAUUGGGGUUCAUGUGACUGUGCCAUAUGGUCAACCUGGGUGCUAGGAUUCAGGACUUAACAUAGGAAAAACCAAAAAGCUUGCUCUUAGAAAAGCCUAGAAAAUGAGCUACUUAGGUUGUGCUCAAUUUAACGCAACUAAGAUCUUGGUGCUGCGAAGCAAAGACUCUUGCAGUGAAAUCUCAAGUGAAGCUAAAGAUGAGAGGCAAAGGCAAAAACCUCAAUAAAUCAGUUGUUGCUAGACACAAGUUGCUCUUGUGUGUACAAAAUGUCCCAUAUAUGUCAGAGAUCUAGCUGUCAGGUAAACCUAAACUUAGAUCUGCUUUGGAACUUGGGCCAGAACUCUUGAGUGAAAGAUUUUUUACUGAAAUAUAGUUAUUUUUAAAAAAAUUAUCAAAAUAAUAUUUUUUCAAAAAUAUUUAUCAAAAUACUGUUCAGAAAAAAAUCACCAUAUCAUAGGGCAACUUUAGAUACCAACUCACCACCUUCCACGCCAUGUGAAGAGGUGAGUUGGCACUAAGAGUCACCUUAUCG